rnacentral:rRNA from 1 species
UACAGAGGUCCCGAGCGUUGUUCGGAUUUAUUGGGCGUAAAGGGUGCGUAGGCGGUGGGGUAAGUUGGAUGUGAAAUCUUGGGGCUUAACCUCAAAGUUGCAUUCAAUACUGCUCCGCUCGAGUUCUGUAGAGGAGAUUGGAAUUUACGGUGUAGCAGUGAAAUGCGUAGAUAUCGUAAGGAACGCCAGUGGCGAAAGCGAAUCUCUGGGCAGCAACUGACGCUGAGGCACGAAGGCCAGGGGAGCAAACGGG